rnacentral:rRNA from 1 species
UCACGUGCUACAAUGGCAUAUACAAUGAGACGCAAUACCGCGAGGUGGAGCAAUCUAUAAAAUAUGUCUUAGUUCGGAUUGUUCUCUGCAACUCGAGAGCAUGAAGCC